ensembl:lncRNA
AAUAUUAGUGGAGGGCACUGUAGGUGCGCAACAAUUAUUGGCACCCCUAUGAAUUCAUAUGAGAGUAUGUUCCUAUUGAUAUUUUACAUUUUUUAGUACACCUGGGUGACUAGGAACAGGAAACCGUUCAAGCAUGAUGUCCUGUUUCACAGGGGUAUAAAUACAGUGAGGGAAAAAAGUAUUUGAUCCCCUACUGAUUUUGUACGUUUGCUCACUGACAAAGAAAUUAUCAUUCUAUAAUUUUAAUGGUAGAUUUAUUUGAACAGUGAGAGACAGAAUAACAACAACGAAAAAAAUCCAGAAAAACGCAUGUCAAAAAUGUUAUAAAUUGAUUUGCAUUUUAAUGAGGGAAAUAAGUAUUUGACCCCUCUGCAAAACAAGACUUAGUACUUGGUGGCAAAACCCUUGUUGGCAAUCACAGAGGUCAGACGUUUCUUGUAGUUGGCCACCAGGUUUGCACACAUCUCAGGAGGGAUUUUGUCCCACUCCUCUUUGCAGAGCUUCUCCAAGUCAUUAAGGCAACUCAAACCUUCAGCUCCCUCCACAGAUUUUCUAUGGGAUUAAGGUCUGGAGACUGGCUAGGCCGCUCCAGGACCUUAAUGUGCUUCUUCUCGAGCCACUCCUUUGUUGCCUUGGCCAUGUGUUUUGGGUCAUUGUCAUGCUGGAAUACCCAUCCACGACCAUUUUCAAUGCCCUGGCUGAGGGAAGGAGGUUCUCACCCAAGAUUUGACGGUACAUGACCCCGUCCAUCGUCCCUUUGAUGCGGUGAAGUUGUCCUGUCCCCUUAGCAGAAAAACACCCCCAAAGCAUAAUGUUUCCACCUCCAUGUUUGACGGUGGGGAUGGUGUUCUUGGGGUCAUAGGCAGCAUUCCUCCUCCUCCAAACACGGCGAGUUGAGUUGAUGCCACAGAGCUCCAUUUUGGUCUCAUCUGACCACAACACUUUCACCCAGUUGUCCUCUGAAUCAUUCAAAUGUUCACUGGCAAACUUCAGACGGGCAUGUAUAUGUGCUUUCUUGAGCAGCGGACCUUGCGGGCGCUGCAGGAUUUCAGUCCUUCACGGCGUAGUGUGUUACCAAUUGUUUUCUUGGUGACUAUAUGAAGCGAUUAUUGACCCAGGCGAACAGUAACUGGUAAGUGUUUCUUUCUGGAUUUUUUAGUUGAAACUAGUUUUAGCACCGAUUGUCAGAUAGAAGCUGUAACUGUGCUCCCUUGUUGCUACGAGCUAUACACUUGUUGCUAGAUUAAAGCAAAUUCCGGUAUUCAGUUUCGGUUUCGGUCGGGAGUCGCUCAUUCACACGACUACUCUUUUUGUUUUGCUAAUUAAAGAGGCAUGCUCAGAAACACAUCAGUAUUUAUUAAUUAAGAAACGCUGAGGCGGAAGCGUCAGCCCUUGUCGUGUGAAGACCGAGCUCGUGUAAAGACCUGCGAAUCUACCUGUGCGAGUCCACCGAGCAAGGACACCGACAAGACACCACACAUGCUGCUAAGUAUACUUUUUCUCCCUUUAUUCCUCUUACUUUUACCUGUUUCCACACACUAACGUGUCAUCCGUUCAUCCCUGUUAUUUGCCACAGGCGCAGACCGUGGCAUUCUCCCAGAAACGUACGCAACUUGGACAACCUACGCUCUCUGAAUGCGGCCUCUGCAGGUUCCAUCUCAUUCUCAGUCAGACAUUGGAACUGCCAAUCUGCUGUCAACAAGGCAGAUUUCAUUUCUGCAUUUGCAAUCCACUCCAAUCUCAGCGUGCUGGCUCUGACUGAGACCUGGAUCCAUGCUGAGAACACUGCCACACCCGCUGCCCUGGCCUCCAAAUUCAACUUCUCCCAUACCUCACGCCCCAACAGACGAGGGGGUGGUACAGGUCAACUGGGGAAGUUCAUAGAUGAAUUUGACACGCUACUGUCCACCAUCCCAGAUGAUGGAACUCCUCUUCUGGUCCUUGGUGAUUUCAACAUUCAUGUAGACAAGCCACAUGCAGCUGACUUUCUUGCUCUCCUUCCCACAUUCGACCUCAAUCAGUUCACCACACCAGCAACCCACAAAGCCGGUAAACAGCUUGACCUCAUCCUCACACGUAAUUGCACCACACAUAAUCUUCUCAUUACUCCUCUCCACACCUCUGACCAUUUCUUUAUCCAGUUCUCUAUUUCUCUCCCCUCACCACCAUAAAUGUCUCCUCCCUCUAUCUCUUUUCGUCGCAAUCUUCGCUCCCUUUCCCCCUCACAUUUCUCCUCCGUUGUCACAACCUUACUUCCCUCCGAAAGCCACCUUUCUUCACUUGACUUAAACACCGCAACCGACAUGCUAUGUUCCACUCUAACAUCUUCUCUUGACAGCAUAUGUCCCCUAACCUCC